GGCCGCGGUAUUUUGACCGUGCUAAGGUAGCGCAAUCACUUGUCUUUUAAAUGAAGACCCGUAUGAAUGGUGGAACGAGGGCUUAACUGUCUCCUUUUUCAAGUCAGUGAAAUUGAUCCGCCCGUGCAGAAGCGGGCAUAAAAAUACAAGACGAGAAGACCCUUUGGAGCUUUAAGACACAAAGUCAACGCACAGUCAUUAACCCCAGCAAACAGGAAUUAAACAUACUAUACAACUGACCCACAUCUUCGGUUGGGGCGACCACGGGGAAAAACAAAUCCCCCACGUGGAUAUGGGCUUUACCCAAAACUAAGAGGGACACCUCUAAGUCACAAAACUUUUGACCUAAAGAUCCGGUUCCAUGACCGAUCAACGAACCAAGUUACCCUAGGGAUAACAGCGCAAUCCCCUCCAAGAGUCCAUAUCGACGAGGGGGUUUACGACCUCGAUGUUGGAUCAGGACAUCCUAAUGGUGCAGCCGCUAUUAAGGGUUCGUUUGUUCAACGAUUAAAGUCCUAC
rnacentral:rRNA from 1 species